CCAAUUUAAAUUUAAAUAUGAGUUCAAGCAAGCUUAUGGAUCCAAAUUUCAAAAAAAAAAAAAGCUGAUGGAUCCAACCGUUUUUUUUUUUCAUCAAUUUCAAAUUUAUUCCUUUCCAAGUUUUUUAAUGAUAUGAAAUUUAAUUGAUUCUCAACUGAUCAUUCAAUUUUCCAAUUUCCCUGUAUCUCUCCAAGCGUUAUUAUUUCCAAUUUCGGGUUUUCCACCCACUGUCUCUCCCCCUUUCCAAUACUGCUCAUUAAUCCCCACUUUCUCUCCCCUUUUCAUUUAACGUUAAUUCAUCAUCCCAAUAACGUGCCUGAGAUAUUCACAUCUUUAUGUCAUUUUGGUCGUCUCACUUUUUUUGCAGGAGUGAAGAACGUGGAAGUGGACUUGAGCAAUCAGGUUGUUAGGAUUCUCGGUUCAACACCGGUGAAGACCAUGGCUGAGAGAGUUAGAUUGCAGGAUUACUAGGCCUUGCAAGAGGUGUUCUAACUAUGAAUGACAACAGGGGUUGAAGAUGAGGUCCCUCAUUGCAAGACUCACAAGGUGGUUGUUAAGAAGAGGGUUUGUAUGAUCUAAUCUAUUUGAAGGAGGAGUUGGAGAAGAAAAUGAACUACUACACCUGCAUGACAGAGAGAUUCUCAGUUGGAUUUUUAGUUUUUAUUGCAUUGAUCAGUUGGGUUUCUGUGUUUUAGAAGCAUUGCAUAGAGGGUAGUUCAAGAGGGCUCACAAAGUUGGCUGGUCAUUCACAAUUUAAUAGAAUCCAAAGUGAUAUGCUCUGCUUAUAUGAAGUUUUUGUUUAUGGUUAUUUCAAGAAAAAAAGCUUUGGUCGUUUUCUUCCCUGACUCUUCUGCGUUCUAUUCUUCACAAUCUGCCAUGGAACCACUCUUCAGCAUUGGAAUCCUUGCUUUGGUCCAACACAUCUGUAUUUAAGCUCUUCUGGCUUAAAUAUAGGUUUGAGGUGGAUAUAAAACAUCUUCUUGAGCAGAUUGUUACAGCUACCUAAUGUCCUUUCUUAGCCAUUAAUUUUAUUUCUCAUUAUGUUGAUUUGAGAUUGUCCAAUUUUGACGAGGUUCGUUUGACUUUUUUUGUUUGCAGUGUUGUCAUGGUAAGGUUUAGGGGAAUUGCUUGAUGAAUCUAUUGGAUGAAGAUUUCCAUGUUUCUUUGAGAAUAUCACUUAAGCGGGAUUGAAACGCAUCUACUGCUAUAGUGCUAUACAGUGUUAUUAUAACUAUUUUUAUCAUGGGUUUGUUAGUGAACCUUUAGCCCCCACCCAUUCCUAUUUUUCUUUUGGUGGUAGAGUGAAUUUAUAUUGGUCUGCCGAAUUCUUAAGUGUUCUAAGUCUUAUAAAAGUUAUGUUCAUUUGACAUUUAAUUAAUUUAUUUCCACUUUUGAUUUUGUCAGUAGAGUUUCAGCUAAGGAUUGAUGGCUAAGGGUGGGUCUGUAUAAUGCAUCUAACUGCUCAUCUCAAGGAACUGGAAUUUUUUUUAAUAAGAUUACUAUUUUAGUGAGGAUGUCCAUAGCCCAUUGUAAACGAAGAAAAGGCACAUUUUGGUCUGUAGAACUCACUGUUCAAUGACGAGUAGAAAUAUUUUUUUUCAA